rnacentral:pre_miRNA from 2 species
AGCACCACGUGUCUGGGCCACGUGAGCAACGCCACGUGGGCCUGACGUGGAGCUGG